AGAAUCAACGCUGGCGGCGUGCCUAACACAUGCAAGUCGAACGCGGUUACCCCUGUUUCGCAAGAAACGGGGUGUGACUGAGUGGCGAACGGGUGAGUAACACGUGGGUGAUCUACCUUUGAGUGGGGGAUAACGUUCCGAAAGGAACGCUAAUACCGCAUGACGUUCUGGGUUUGAAGACCUGGAAACCAAAGUCGGGGACCGCAAGGCCUGACGCUUGGAGAGGAGCCCGCGCCUGAUUAGCUAGUUGGUGGGGUAAUGGCUCACCAAGGCGACGAUCAGUAGCCGGCCUGAGAGGGCGGACGGCCACGACUGGGACUGAGACACGGCCCAGACUCCUACGGGAGGCAGCAGUGGGAAUUGUCGCAAUGGGCGCAAGCCUGACGACGCAACGCCGCGUGGAGGAUGAAGGUCUUCGGAUUGUAAACUCCUGUUGAUCGGAAGAAUGAGCUUCGACUAAUACGUCGGGCAAGUGAACGGUACCGAUUCGAGGAAGCCAACGGCUAACGUCUGUGCCAGUACG
rnacentral:rRNA from 1 species